rnacentral:piRNA from 1 species
UAUGGACAGUGAAGAAAUUGAAUUUU